AACGAACGCUGGCGGCAUGCCUAACACAUGCAAGUCGAACGAUCCCUUCGGGGAUAGUGGCGCACGGGUGCGUAACGCGUGGGAACCUGCCCUUAGGUUCGGAAUAACUCAGAGAAAUUUGAGCUAAUACCGGAUAAUGUCUUCGGACCAAAGAUUUAUCGCCUUUGGAUGGGCCCGCGUUGGAUUAGCUAGUUGGUGGGGUAAAGGCCUACCAAGGCGACGAUCCAUAGCUGGUCUGAGAGGAUGAUCAGCCACACUGGGACUGAGACACGGCCCAGACUCCUACGGGAGGCAGCAGUGGGGAAUAUUGGACAAUGGGCGAAAGCCUGAUCCAGCGAUGCCGCGUGAGUGAUGAAGGCCUUAGGGUUGUAAAGCUCUUUUACCCGGGAUGAUAAUGACAGUACCGGGAGAAUAAGCCCCGGCUAACUCCGUG
rnacentral:rRNA from 1 species